rnacentral:rRNA from 1 species
AUUGAACGCUGGCGGCAGGCCUAACACAUGCAAGUCGAACGAGUGGCGGACGGGUGAGUAAUGUCUGGGAAACUGCCUGAUGGAGGGGGAUAACUACUGGAAACGGUAGCUAAUACCGCAUACCAUCGGAUGUGCCCAGAUGGGAUUAGCUAGUUGGUGGGGUAACGGCUCACCAAGGCGACGAUCCCUAGCUGGUCUGAGAGGAUGACCAGCCACACUGGAACUGAGACACGGCCCAGACUCCUACGGGAGGCAGCAGUGGGGAAUAUUGGGCAAUGGGCGCAAGCCUGAGCCAGCAAUGCCGCGUGUAUGAAGAAGGGCUUCGGGUUGUAAAGUACUUUCAGCUGGGAGGCGUUACCCGAAGAGGAAGCACCGGCUAACUCCGUGCCAGCAGCCGCGGUAAUUC